AGCAGCCGCGGUAAUUCCAGCUCCAAUAGCGUAUAUUAAAGUUGUUGCAGUUAAAAAGCUCGUAGUUGAAUUUUGGAUUCUACCAAUCGGUCCAUCUUUUAGAUGAGUACUGGUUGUGUGGGGUCUAUCCGCCUGGUGAUACGUAAUGUCCUUUAUUGGAUGUUGCGGGUAGUCAGGACCUUUACCUUGAAAAAAUUAGAGUGUUUAAAGCAGGCUUAUGCCGGAAUACAUUAGCAUGGAAUAAUAGAAUAGGACGAAGUUGUUUUAUUUUGUUGGUUUCUAGGACAACCGUAAUGAUUAAUAGGGAUAGUUGGGGGCAUUAGUAUUCAAUUGUCAGAGGUGAAAUUCUUGGAUUUAUUGAAGACUAACUACUGCGAAAGCAUUUGCCAAGGAUGUUUUCAUUAAUCAAGAACGAAAGUUAGGGGAUCGAAGACGAUCAGAUACCGUCGUAGUCUUAACCAUAAACUAUGCCGACUAGGGAUCGGGCGAUGUUGUUUCAAUGACUCGCUCGGCACCUUAUG
rnacentral:rRNA from 1 species